AUGGAUAGAACACUGAAGGAGCAUGAAGUCAGCCCUUUAAGGCACAGAGCUUCAUGGUUUGAUUAGGUCUGUCUAACCCCCCCUACUGUGUUCCUUCCUUUCCUCCCUCCCUCCAUCCUGGUAUUUUUCUCUCUUGUUGCUCUUCUCUCUGUUCUUCUCUUGUGUGCGUGCAUGUGUCGAUGUCUGUGUGUGUGCAUGCAUCUGUCCGCAUACGUGCGUGUAUGCGUGUCUUUGUGUGUCUUUUGUUUGUGUGUGUGUGUCAGACGGACCACGUCCACCGUGCAGACGUGUUUGACCUGUUCCCAGGAACGUUCCAGACCAUCGAGAUGGUAGCCGGUAACCCUGGAACGUGGCUGCUACACUGUCACGUUUCAAAUCAUAUCCACGCUGGCAUGGAGACCACCUUUACUAUCAGAGCAAACUCCUCUCAAGGGUGCUUUAGUUCCAUAGCUACGUUGCUUUUGUGCCUAGCACUGGGACUGGUUGGGACUGUGUUGUACUAGCCACUUGGAACUUUAGUGUUUGUCUGUGUGUUGAAAUUAGCACUGUACAAGGGUGACAACUUUGAAUGUACAGUGCCUAUAGCAUCUCUAACCCCAUUUUCAAAAAGUUUCAUUGCCUGAAAUAAAAGUUGUUAUUAUUAUUAGUAUUACUACAAUAGAAGUAGUAGCACAAGUUAAGUCAUUAAAAAGAUCCAAUUUUAAGUGCAACCAAUUACCUUUAAAAUCACACACACCUGUGUUACAUAGAUUUCAGGAUCAAUUCUGCAGUUUCUGAGCAGGGUAGUGCAUUUUAAUGGAUACAUUCAACCAUGAGCACCAUGAAAUGUUCAAGAGAACAAUGUUGUGGACAAGUUCCUAUCAGCAGAUAGGUAUGAAAAACAAAGCAUGGUCAAGAAAACCUUUGUAAAUCAGGCUGUCUCCCUAAAUGGGUUGACCGAGAAAGAAUGAGACUGAUUUGAUCAAAGACAAGGCCAUUGGAAACUAGGUAACAACAAAAAAGCUACAAGUUUCUAUGGCCAGAACGGUGAAUGUGUGCACAGCACACAUAUCUAGCCUCUAAGGUGUUGUGAAAUGACAGAAGUCAUCACUCAAGAUUCAGCCCAUCAGACUCACAGCUGUAAUUGCUGCCAUCACGCAUUAACUCGGGCGUUUGGAGACAAAUUUGAAUAGGCCUACCACUUUUGUAUUUUGAAUAUGUCAUUUGUAUAGCGUGGAGUAUGCUGUGUGAAUACAACAAAAAUGUUGGAAGUCAACAAAAUGCUAGAAUGUUCAAGAGGGCACGUUCUAUAGGCACUGUACAUCUUAUUCGAUUGCAUACUACUGUAUUUGUUUGUGUAGCAAGCAAGCAUAUAUAAUCAACACUGUCAAACCAAUCAAUUCUUACAAUUAUACAAUAUUGUAGAAUGGUGAGUGAAGAUACAUAAAUGUUGGAAUGCUGCUUUAGGAUUGGAACUAUUGUUCUUCGAAUCUUUAUCAAUUUCAUUUUUUAAUUCUAUUUUUCCGUAGCACCUUUCAGUGCCUUUUCAAAUUUUCAGCCAUUAAAACCGUUCAGCUAUCAAAAAAAUCAGCAGUUUCAGGGGUCACCAGCUGUGACCUCUAAGCCUUCUACCUCUUAUGCUUGAAUUAAUAUAAAUCAAUAUUCAUAAUAUUUUCAAAUCCUCUUAAACUUCAACUUUCAAAUCCUUCUUCUUCCUCAAUCUUUCAGGUACAGCCAACAUUUAAAAUGUUGACAAAACCCCAAACUAUUUUUAAAAAAUCACCUUUGAUAUCUGGUCAACUUUUUUCAAUAUUUUAAAAUUUAUUUCAGCUUUCAGCUUUCAGCAUUCCAACGCAUGCAGGAAAUGCACUUUCUAGUUAAGUUCAUUAUUCAAUCAAUUCAGUUGUGAAGAAUGUACAUGGAUGCACAUUCUGACAGUGUUUCACAUGAUUCCUAGGCUUAAGCUGUAUGCGUAUUUUAUAUGGUCAUUUCUAAAGUGCAAUAAAAUUACUUG